AAUACGUUCCCGGACCUUGCACACACCGCCCGCCAAGCCAUGGAAGCUGGGUGUACCUAAAGUCGGUAACCGCAAGGAGCCGCCUAGGGUAAAACUAGUGACUGGGGCU
rnacentral:rRNA from 1 species